rnacentral:rRNA from 1 species
UACGUAGGGGGGCUAGCGUUGUCCGGAAUCAUUGGGCGUAAAGAGCGUGUAGGCGGCUUUACAGGUCCGUUGUGAAAACUCGAGGCUCAACCUCGAGACGCCGGUGGAAACCGUAAAGCUAGAGUCCGGAAGAGGAGAGUGGAAUUCCUGGUGUAGCGGUGAAAUGCGCAGAUAUCAGGAGGAACACCAAUGGCGAAGGCAGCUCUCUGGUACGUGACUGACGCUGAGACGCGAAAGCGUGGGUAGCAAACAGG